AAUAUAAUAAAAGAUUUUUCUUAUUGUUUAUACAGUGAAUUCAGAAAACUACAUACUCAAAAGGCGCAAAAUAUUUUUUAAGAUUGUAAAAAAAAUUUUUUCACGGAUCGUUCUCAUAAAUCAAUUUUUUCUGAAAAAGAGUUUUUAAAAGCAAACUCUACAUCGUCAUCCAUUUUGUAUUUUUAAAUAUCAUUUGGGGUUAUUUUUACUGUGUGAAGUGGAUUCGUCGUAUUUUCAGGUGAAGUUUUCUUUGUGGAAGGGUUUUUGAUUCGUCGCAUUUGUUUUUAUUAUUCUAGUAUACAUACAAAAAUAAAAAAAAAUUCCACCAAAUUGAGGGGAAUCAUGGCUGACGAAGACCUUUCUCUAAACGAAGACCAACUUCUGGAUAAUUUGGUCAACGACGCUAAUGGCGAAUCGGAGUUGUUAAAUGAAGACGAAACAAAUAUGCAAAUAGAUCCAGAACUAGAAGCAAUUAAAGCUCGUGUAAAAGAAAUGGAAGAAGAGGCUGAAAAAAUAAAACAAAUGCAGUCUGAAGUUGAUAAGCAAAUGGCCGGAUCGACAGCUGGUAUAGUUACAAUACCACUAUCAAUAGAAGAAAAACAGGAAAUAGAUAGUAGAUCAGUUUAUGUUGGCAACGUAGAUUAUGGCGCUUCAGCUGAAGAGUUGGAAGCUCAUUUUCAUGGCUGUGGAACAAUAAAUAGAGUAACAAUUUUAUGUAACAAAGCUGAUGGCCACCCGAAAGGUUUUGCGUAUAUAGAAUUUGGUGCUAAGGAAUAUGUAGAAACUGCAUUAGCAAUGAAUGAAACAUUGUUUCGUGGAAGACAAAUUAAAGUUAUGGCUAAAAGAACCAAUCGUCCAGGUCUAUCAACAACGAAUCGGUUUCCAAGAGGAGCCGGAGCAUUUAGAGGUCGCAUUGCUAGGAUUUCACGAGGGGCUUGCUGCCAUACAUACCGUGGAUCCAGAAGGAUUUUGUAAUUUUUAUUUACAUUUUGCAGAAGUGGCUAUCGUGGGAGGGUUAACUACUAUUCGCCAUACUGAUUAAUUUUAAAUUCAUCAUGAUUAGAUAAAAAUUAAUUUUAAAAUUCAAAAAACAUUAUUUAAAAAAUAUGAAAAAUUAAUUCAUCCACAAAAAAAUUUUUUUUUAUAUAAAAGAUGACAAAAAAUGAAAAAUAAGAAAAAGAAAAAACAAUAAAUAGAAAAGAAUAAAAAAGAGCCAAAAAUAAGAUAAAAAAAGGAUAAAAAAGGAAAAAGUAACAAAAAAUUAAAAGAAAAAAUAGCAAAAAUAUAAAAAAAAGAAGGAAAAUUGGUUAAUAAUGUUUUUUGAAAUAAAAAAAAAUCAAAAAGCAAAAUAGAUACAAAAGAAUAAAAAAAGAAAAAAGAAUCACGCAAAAGACAAAAAAGGAUGAAAAAAAUUAAGGAAGAAAAAAUUUUUAUAAAACAAAAGUAAAAAGAAAAAAAAAGCGAAAAAAAGGAAAAAAGGAAAACCCAUCUUCACUCAAACAUUUUUAGAAAUUAAAAAAAAGUAAAAAAAAAAAAAAAAAAAAUUUAAGAAAAAAAAAUUUCAAAAAAAGGCAAAGAAAAUAUUUUAAACUGAAAAUAUAAAAUAAUCAUAAAUAAAGAAAUAUAUAAAAAUUGUGAAUUAAUUCUGUUUUUAUUUAUUUUCUGAGAUAAUUUGACAUUGAGAGAAACUGACAUUCCUGAAGCCCAACUUUGUAACAGUAUGUAUUUGUAAUUUUCUUUAUUACUAAUUUGUCUAGUUUUUAAUUUUAGGGGAAACUUGUUGUUGAUCACACCGACAGGUCAGUAUUAAUAGAAAUGCCAACAGGUUAGUAUUUUUAGAAAUUUGAGCUAAUUUACAGUUUUUGGUGCAAAGUGGUGGUAAGUAAUUUAAAUUUUUAUGUGCAUGAAUAUUUUGUUAUUUGCAAUGAUAUUUUAUAGAUUUUGUUAAUCUUCCUUCUAUAGAAAAUUUAUGCGGGAGAUAUCGUUUGUUUCCAAUUAAUUAAAGAAGCUAAUGUGUUUCUUUAACAGUUCUUUUUUAGAUGUCUGCGCUACAUUUCACAGAAUUAAUAUUCGAACACACUUUAUUAAAGCAAGUAAUUUUUAAACGAUCUACAUACAUUUUCAAUUUGUGCUGCGUACAAUUUUUGGACGUGCUACAAAUUACAAGUUAGAACUAUUUUAGCACUGAAAAAAUUAAAAUCUCCGAUUAUAAUUAUUUUUUUUUUGAUCAAACUCCGCUUCCUGAGUUAUGUAUCAGACAUCAGUGUCGUCAUUUAUAGGAAAGGGAGUGAAAAAGAGAAGAAUAUGUAGGUUGAAAGAGUUAUUAAUUUUUCUAAUACACAUUUAUAUUUUUUAAUAUGUUUUUGUAUCGUUUUGAUUAUAUCACAAGGCCAAAAUUAAUCAUGUGGCAAAAAAAAUUAAUUAUUGAAAUUUGAUCUCUUUUAUUCAAUCACCAAAAUA